rnacentral:rRNA from 1 species
UAGGGAAUCUUCGGCAAUGGGGGCAACCCUGACCGAGCAACGCCGCGUGAGUGAAGAAGGUUUUCGGAUCGUAAAGCUCUGUUGUAAGUCAAGAACGAGUGUGAGAGUGGAAAGUUCACACUGUGACGGUAGCUUACCAGAAAGGGACGGCUAACUACGUGCCAGCAGCCGCGGUAAUACGUAGAUCCCGAGCGUUGUCCGGAUUUAUUGGGCGUAAAGCGAGCGCAGGCGGUUUGAUAAGUCUGAAGUUAAAGGCUGUGGCUCAACCAUAGUUCGCUUUGGAAACUGUCAAACUUGAGUGCAGAAGGGGAGAGUGGAAUUCCAUGUGUAGCGGUGAAAUGCGUAGAUAUAUGGAGGAACACCGGUGGCGAAAGCGGCUCUCUGGUCUGUAACUGACGCUGAGGCUCGAAAGCGUGGGGAGCGAACAGGAUUAGAUACCCUGGUAGUCCACGCCGUAAACGAUGAGUGCUAGGUGUUGGAUCCUUUCCGGGAUUCAGUGCCGCAGCUAACGCAUUAAGCACUCCGCCUGGGGAGUACGACCGCAAGGUUG